rnacentral:ncRNA from 14 species
GUUCUAAUCGUCGCACACAGGGUGCGACGGACAACUGAUUUCGAGCACGGGACACGGAAACCGGUGAAAAGCCGGUGCGGCCCCGCCACUGUAACGGGUAACUCUGCGGUCCUCACGGACUGCACAGCAGCGUCACUCAGUUCACCACUGAUCGCAAGAUUGGGAAGGUGAGUGACGUCGCCCGGAGCCAGGAGACGACCCGCGCUCUCUCUUUGACGA